AUGGAGAAUAAGUAUAGAAUUUAUACCUCGGGUGAAGGGGCAAAUAGCUUCCAUUUUGAUCUAGUUCGGUCGAUUGCUGUGAAGAAUCAUGGGAUGAUAGGGCCAUAGAUCAUACUCACAGGAGAGAAAGAGAGCAUAGGAAUACACAUUGAGAUAAAAGCUCAUUAAGGAAUCAUAUAUUAUAGAUUGAUAAAAGAUAUUGAAUUUUGUACACAAUAAUGUUAGUGUUAU
rnacentral:lncRNA from 1 species